rnacentral:rRNA from 1 species
GGGUUGUAAACUUCUUUUAAGAGGGAAGAGCAGAAGACGGUACCUCUAGAAUAAGCCACGGCUAACUACGUGCCAGCAGCCGCGGUAAUACGUAGGUGGCAAGCGUUGUCCGGAUUUACUGGGUGUAAAGGGCGUGCAGCCGGGUCUGCAAGUCAGAUGUGAAGUCCAUGGGCUCAACCCAUGAACUGCAUUUGAAACUGUAGAUCUUGAGUGUCGGAGGGGCAAUCGGAAUUCCUAGUGUAGCGGUGAAAUGCGUAGAUAUUAGGAGGAACACCAGUGGCGAAGGCGGAUUGCUGGACGAUAACUGACGGUGAGACGCGAAAGUGUGGGGAGCAAACAGGAUUAGAUACCCUGGUAGUCCACACUGUAAACGAUGAAUACUAGGUGUGCGGGGACUGACCCCCUGCGUGCCGCAGUAAACACAAUAAGUAUUCCACCUGGGGAGUA